rnacentral:lncRNA from 1 species
GGGAGCACGAGGAGUUUCCACGCCAAAGAAUUCAGAAAGGGGGGUCUCGCACUGUCGCCCAGGCUGGAGUCUGCAGUGCAGCGGCAGGAUCUCGGCUCACUGCAACCUCCGCCUCCGCCUCCCGGGUUCAAGCCAUUCUCCUGCCUCAGCCACCCGAAUAGCUGGGAUUACAGGAGCCCGCCACCACGCCCAGCUAAUUUUUGUAUUUUUAGUAGAGACGGGGUUUCACCGUGUUGGCCAGGCUGGUCUUGAACUCCCGACCUCGUGAUUCGCCUGCCUCGGCCUCCCGAAGUGCUGGGAUUACAGGCAUGAGCCACCGCGCCCGGACUGCACACCUCUUGACUCUUUGGAAAUUGCCUCAAAGGAAACUUCAGAGUAAAGAUUGAGAUGAGAACUUUACAGGUAACCUGCACCCUGGGCAACCACCCUCCUCCCAGCACUCAGAGCUACAGCAGCCAUGGCUACCCCAAGAUCUGUCAGUAUUGGAGCCCCAACCCUGCCCCCCAGGACACCAAAGCCUACAAAGUACCUCAGUACUUCACUGCUUAACAAGUAGAACAUCAACUGUGAUACUAAGCAGCAUUGAUUAAUGAUAAAGAUGACCCUUGGUUGGUAAAUUGCAUCUGGACUAACCAACUCCAUUUUGCUUCUAACCACCAAGCUGUCCUUGUUCAUUCCUGGGCAUAGGCUGAAUUAACUUUGAGAGGAACCUGUUUAUAGUUUAUAGUUUAAAACAAAGAUGAUAACAGGCUUUUCCCAGGGAAAAUCUCCUUCUUGCCUGGGGACUAGACCGCCUUCGCAGGACUAAGAAAUUAGCCACAAGAUUAGAAAUUUCGGUUUAGGAGUCAUGCAGCUGGAGGCUACAAGAUUCUGACACUACCUAAGCUGCUCCUAAGAGCAGUGCUUGAGAUGUUUUGCAGACCCAGCACUUGAAGGAUCAGGUGACACCACCUGGACCAAUAAACUGGCUCAUCUGAUCUUGUGCCUCCCACCCAGGAACUGACUCAGCACAAGAAGACAGCUCGACUCCCUAUGAUUUCACCUCUGACCUGACCAAUCAGCACUCCCGGCUCACUGGCUUGCCCCCCAACCACCAAGUUGUCCUUACAAACUCUGAUCCCCAAAUGCCUGGGGAGACUGAUUUGAGUAAUAAUAAAAGUCCAGUCUCCCGCACC